CCUCCCGCCCGCGCUCCCGCGCGCGCCCUCCCCUCAGCGAACAAAGGGCGAGGGCGGGCGGCGCGGUCGCGGCCCUGCAGGCCGAAAACGGGUCUGAAAGAGCCGGACGUGGACAAAAAGACGCGGAACUGAGCGCGCAAAGGGUGUUGAGGCUCAGGGCUGGGAGAGGCAGAGCCUGCACGCCGCGUUAAAUGGGAGCGCUCCGGGCUGGCGAGCGGGAAAGGCCACAGGCCUUAAAAUGCUGCUCACAAGAGGCUGGCAAGCAAUAAAUAUCUUCCUAUUGUGUGAGGAGAGACUGCGGGAGCUGGGCCUGAUGGGACCUCACAUAAACCAGGCAGGGGAGGUGCACCAAAAUGGGAUAAUUUCCCACCAGAACUCAUACUGAAACCCUAAUUAAUAUUGAAAAGUCUGUGCUGUGCCAUGUCUUCAAAUCCUUGGAAUUUGGGUAAGGAGCUGGAUCAGUCAGAAGAGUUUAUAACACAUUUACACAAAUUCAAUGCUUGCACCACCCCUGUUCUUUUGUAAAAAUUCAACUGUUGCAAUAGUUCCUGUUUCUGGUCCAGUGACUUCAUCACA